AGAGAACUGCCAUGUGAGGCAGUUCUAGUAGUAUAUCUGUUCAUAUGAAGUUAAUGCUUACACAGUUAAAAAUAAUUGCCAUAUUGAUCACCGGAAUGGAUCACAGUAUCUAGGAAAUGUGCAAUUUGUUCUUUUGUCUACAGUUUUAAUUUUAGUUCAAAUGACUUUCUGAAUCUAUUCUUUAAUCUAGACCUAUUGCAUCUGUGGUAGAAAAUAUAGGAACCCAAUCCUCAACAUCCUUUGCUUGAGACUCAUAAUUCUCAUUGCGGUAUACAGUUUGGCAUAGUGUCAUUAAUGAAUUGACAUUGAAGCCAUCACGUUUAUUUUGCUGCUGCAGCAGUCUGAGCCCCGGUUACCCUGGGUGACUUUAAACUGCAGAAACUAAUCCCAUACCCAUUUAAUCUGCCUAACUCAGAACUUCUAAAAGAGAUGACCCAGGAAAAAGCACUUUCACUUGGCAGUCCUCCACCAAAGACACCCCGCUCCAAACAACAGAAUUAACAAGAAAAAGAACAGAAAAGAAAUAUCUUGCUCAAGGGAAUGAGGAAUUCACCACUGCUGCGACAUUAAUGGUGAUGGCUAUUUGUGAAGCCUACUGAACCCUGGAUGGCUCUGAAGAAGACCCCUAGGAGAAACUGUAUCUUUAGCUUUUGAGCAAUGCAGCUAAUUUUUCACCCAAAGGUGACAAAAUCAAAGGUUUGACCCAUGACCAUUGACUUGGAAAACCAAAAUGCAGGAGUCUCUGUUUCAGCUACAGAGCAUCCGGAAGACAGAGGGGAGAGCUGAACAGAUGAAUGGACAACAAGUAGUAGGUUUAAAGAUGAUCCCUCAAGGAAGCCAUUGUGAGAAGGCUACUUUGGACCUGGAGGAAAUUAUAUCCUGAGAAAAUGAAAGAUUGCAACACGUUGGUGAGAAGAGG
rnacentral:lncRNA from 1 species